GCCGCCGUACAAAUUUCGUCGGUGUCUAUCUCGGAGGCUAUAAAAGAUGGAAGAGUGGUUUCUUGGCAAAAGAUGAUCAGGGUCCGAAGGUCUACUUGAUAGGUAAAAAAAAAAAUCAAAAUGGCGGAGUUUGUUUUUCCAUAGAAGAUGUAGAUGUGACGAAUAUUAAAUGUAAGUGAAUAUGUCAUAUCACUAUCGAGAUUAGACUGAUC